rnacentral:tRNA from 1 species
GGCCUGGUGGUCUAGUAGUAUGAUUCCUUCUUAGGGUGUUCAGGCGGCUGUGUUUCAUUUGGAGGAGGUCCCGGGUUCACUUCCCGGCCAGGCCC